rfam:Brassica napus, WGS project CCCW01000000 data, contig: 13295
UAGUUUUUUCCUUUCUUUGCUUGUGGGUUGGUUUCUUGGAUAUAAAGAUUGCCUCUUCUUUCAGCAGCAAGAUCUAUUCUUGUUAGCUUUGUUCUGGAGGCACAUAU